CCCUUAGAUGUCCUGGGCCGCACGCGCGCUACAAUGAUAAAUUCAGAAUGUAUUUCCUGUCCUGGAAAGGUUCGGGUAAUCAUUAUAGUAUUUAUCGUGUUAGGGAUCGAUCUUUGCAAUUAUAGAUCUUGAACGAGGAAUGCCUAGUAAGUGCAGCUCAUCAGGCUGUACUGAUUACGUCCCUGCCCUUUGUACACACCGCCCGUCGCUCCUACCGAUUUCGAGUGUUCAGGUGAACCUUCUGGACUGAAUUCACUAGAGUUCGGGAAGUUAGGUAAAUCUUAACACUUAGAGGAAGGAGAAGUCGUAACA
rnacentral:rRNA from 1 species